AAUGAACGCUGGCGGCAGGCCUAACACAUGCAAGUCGAGCGGAGCGGCGGACGGGUGAGUAAUGCCUAGGACUCUGCCUGGUAGUGGGGGAUAACGUCCGGAAACGGGCGCUAAUACCGCAUACUAUCAGAUGAGCCUAGGUCGGAUGGGCUAGUUGGUGGGGGAAAGGCCUACCAAGGCGAAGAUCCGUAACGGGUCUGAGAGGAGGAUCAGUCACCGUGGGACUGAGACACAGCCCAGGCUCCUACGUGAGGCGGCAGUGGGGAAUAUGGCACAAUGGGCGAAGGGCUGAUGCAGCACUGCCGCGUGUAUGAAGAAGGCCGUAGGGUUGUAAAGUACUUUCAGCUGGGAGGCGUUACCCGCAGAAGAAGCACCGGCUAACUCCGUGCCAGCCGCCGCGGUAAUAC
rnacentral:rRNA from 1 species